CUCUUCAGAUCUGCAGUCACCUAUAAUGGUGGCUCACUAUCUGGAAGAUAAGAGAGAGAGCAGCUGAGGUUCAGACGGCAGAAAUACGGCUUGUGCCUUGCUCGGCUCGUCUUGCUCGGCUCGUCUUGCUCGGCUCGUCACGCGUAUUAUCUGCUGGAGGAAGUGACUCAGACUGGAUGUGCUUCUAGACUGUGACAAGCUGACAAAGCCAGCCAUCUCGAGGAUGAAACCUGAGAACAGGGAAGAAUUUGGGCCUUAGAGUUGUGUGCAGCAUCUUCCAGGCUCUUUAUUAAAAAUGGUCUUUUCUUCUAAAGGAGCAGCCUUGGCUUGGCUGUUAUCCAU
rnacentral:lncRNA from 1 species